rnacentral:rRNA from 1 species
UACGAAGGGGGCUAGCGUUGCUCGGAAUCACUGGGCGUAAAGGUGCGUAGGCGGGUCUUUAAGUCAGGGGUGAAAUCCUGGAGCUCAACUCCAGAACUGCCUUUGAUACUGAAGAUCUUGAGUUCGGGAGAGGUGAGUGGAACUGCGAGUGUAGAGGUGAAAUUCGUAGAUAUUCGGAAGAACACCAGUGGCGAAGGCGGCUCACUGGCCCGGUACUGACGCUGAGGUGCGAAAGCGUGGG